UAUAUCCUGUCUGGUGCGCGGACGGGUAUAAGGAUUUGGCCAACACAUAAUAAAUGGGGGUCUAACUUCGGUGUUCCUUAGGGAUCGCCGGGAGGGCGCCCACCUGGGCAACCGGGACCAAAUCCUCUGCCUGUUGCGGCCAGAUGGGAUUUUC
rnacentral:other from 1 species